CCAGUGAUCUGGGAGAGUUUAUAGUCCUGAGAGUUGAACACUGGAUGACUGAGAGCUGUCCUUCAUCACAACAGAAGACACAGAAAUCCUCCUCAUCAAAAACAUGACUUUGAUCUGCGUCCUCAUCUGGACUCUCCUCUGCUGCUGCUUCACAGAGUCCAUAAUCCAAGUGACAGUGACUCAGUCUGAAGUAGCUGUGAGCUCUGCUCUGGGAGGUUCUGUCAGCAUCAGAUGUAGGACCAACUACGCAGUAUAUAGCAGUAGCUACUUACACUGGUACCAACAGAGAGAUGGAGAAGCUCCUAAACUCCUUAUUUACACCACCAGCACUCGAGCGUCAGGGACUCCAAGUCGUUUUACAGGCAGUGGAUCAAACUCUGACUUCACUCUGACCAUCAGUGGAGUUCAGGCUGAAGAUGCUGCAGUUUAUUAUUGUAAAGGACUAUUUGACUCUAGUAAAUAUGAUCUGUUCACACAGUGAAAACCUGUCACACAA